rnacentral:rRNA from 1 species
UACGAAGGGGGCUAGCGUUGCUCGGAAUCACUGGGCGUAAAGGGUGCGUAGGCGGGUCUUUAAGUCAGGGGUGAAAUCCUGGAGCUCAACUCCAGAACUGCCUUUGAUACUGGCGGUCUCGAGUCCGGGAGAAGUGAGUGGAACUGCGAGUGUAGAGGUGAAAUUCGUAGAUAUUCGCAAGAACACCAGUGGCGAAGGCGGCUCACUGGCCCGGUACUGACGCUGAGGUGCGAAAGCGUGGGGAGCAAACAGG